rnacentral:lncRNA from 1 species
GGUGGCUGCUUUCUCUGGGCUGGCUGUGGGAGGCUCCCGAGGUGGGGACCCGGCCGGGAUGGCUGCAGCGGCGGCCGGGGCUGGGAGCGGGCCCUCGGCGGCCCAGGAGAAGCAGUUCCUGCCGGCGCUGCUGAGUUUCUUCAUCUACAACCCGCGCUUCUGGCCGCGGGAAGGAGAGGUUGUUCGGAAUCCUAUAAUUGAAAAACAGUAAAGAUGGAAAACCAGUUAUUGAAUAUCAAGAGGAGGAGUUGUUGAAGUCUCAGGGGAUCCAGAACUGCAGCCAGUCCUUGCUGGGCUGUUCCUGUCCAUGUGCCUGGUCACGGUGCUGGGGAACCUGCUCAUCAUCCUGGCCAUCAGCCCUGACUCCCACCUCCACACCCCCAUGUACUUCUUCCUCUCCAACCUGUCCUUGCCUGACAUCGGUUUCACCUCCACCACGGUCCCCAAGAUGAUUGUGGACAUCCAGUCUCACAGCAGAGUCAUCUCCUAUGCAGGCUGCCUGACUCAGAUGUCUCUCUUUGCCAUUUUUGGAGGCAUGGAAGAGAGACAUGCUCCUGAGUGUGAUGGCCUAUGACUGGUUUGUAGCCAUCUGUCACCCGCUAUAUCAUUCACCAUCAUGAACCCGUGUUUCUGUGCCUUUCUAGUUUUGU